AUUGAACGCUGGCGGCAUGCCUUACACAUGCAAGUCGAACGGUAACAGAUCUUCGGAUGCUGACGAGUGGCGAACGGGUGAGUAAUGCAUCGGAACGUGCCCAGUCGUGGGGGAUAACUGCUCGAAAGAGCAGCUAAUACCGCAUACGAUCUAUGGAUGAAAGCGGGGGACCGUAAGGCCUCGCGCGAUUGGAGCGGCCGAUGUCAGAUUAGGUAGUUGGUGGGGUAAAGGCUCACCAAGCCAACGAUCUGUAGCUGGUCUGAGAGGACGACCAGCGACACGGGGACUGAGACACGGCCCAGACUCCUACGGGAGGCAGCAGGGGGGAAUUUUGGACAAUGGGGGCAACCCUGAUCCAGCAAUGCCGCGUGCAGGAAGAAGGCCUUCGGGUUGUAAACUGCUUUUGUACGGAACGAAACGGUCUGGGUUAAUACCCUGGGCUAAUGACGGUACCGUAAGAAUAAGCACCGGCUAACUACGUGCCAGCAGCCGCAGUAAGAC
rnacentral:rRNA from 1 species